rnacentral:misc_RNA from 1 species
GGAAAUUUAACAACUGCUGAAGAAAUUUUUCUUAAGCAAAAGAUUAUCUUUGGGGAAUGAGUAGUGAUAUGUUAUGGUCCCAACAACCAAAGGAAUUAACAGGGCAGGGUUAAGAAAAAUUAGAGCUGCAACUAUAUCACUAGAAAAUCUAUCAGAGCAGUUAUUAUGCCAUGAAACAGUGAUGAUUGGAUAAUGUAAAAUUCAGAGAAGAAAAUUUAAGAUUCUUUG